rnacentral:piRNA from 2 species
UAGUCGGACCAAAGCUUGUUAACACAGA